GGCGUAAAGCGCAUGCAGGUGGUUGGAUAAGUUAGAUGUGAAAGCCCCGGGCUCAACCGGGGAAUUGCAUUUAAAACUGUCCAGCUAGAGUCCUGUAGAGGGGGGUAGAAUUUC
rnacentral:rRNA from 1 species